AGAACCUACGCAGGCUAUACUGCAGUCGAACGGUGUUUCGGACAUAGUGGCGCACGGGUGCGUAACACGUAUGCAACUACUUACAUUGGGGGAUAGCCUUUCGAAAGGGAGAUUAAUACCGCAUAAGACAGUAGCUGGGCAUCCAGCAGCUGUUAAAGAUUUAUCGAUGUAAGCUGGGCAUGCGUCCAAUUAGCUAGUUGGUGAGGUAAUGGCUCACCAAGGCAAUGAUUGGUAGGGGAACUGAGAGGUCAAUCCCCCACACUGGCACUGAGAUACGGGCCAGACUCCUACGGGAGGCAGCAGUAGGGAAUAUUGGGCAAUGGACGCAAGUCUGACCCAGCCAUGCCGCGUGCAGGAUGAAGGCGUUAUGCGUUGUAAACUGCUUUUAUACAGGAAGAAACGACUCUUGCGAGAGGCAUUGACGGUACUGUAUGAAUAAGCACCGGCUAACUCCGUGCCAGCAGCCGCGGUAAUACGGAGGGUGCAA
rnacentral:rRNA from 1 species